CCUACGGGGGGCAGCAGUGAGGAAUAUUGGUCAAUGGACGAGAGUCUGAACCAGCCAAGUAGCGUGAAGGAUGACUGCCCUAUGGGUUGUAAACUUCUUUUAUAUGGGAAUAAAACGUUCCACGUGUGGGAUUUUGUAUGUACCUUAUGAAUAAGGAUCGGCUAACUCCGUGCCAGCAGCCGCGGUAAUACGGAGGAUCCGAGCGUUAUCCGGAUUUAUUGGGUUUAAAGGGAGCGUAGGUGGAUUGUUAAGUCAGUUGUGAAAGUUUGCGGCUCAACCGUAAAAUUGCAGUUGAAACUGGCAGUCUUGAGUACAGUAGAGGUGGGCGGAAUUCGUGGUGUAGCGGUGAAAUGCUUAGAUAUCACGAAGAACUCCGAUUGCGAAGGCAGUUCACUGGACUGCAACUGACACUGAGGCUCGAAAGUGUGGGUAUCAAACAGGAUUAGAUACCCUUGUAGUC
rnacentral:rRNA from 1 species